CCUACGGGCGGCUGCAGUGGGGAAUAUUGCACAAUGGGCGCAAGCCUGAUGCAGCCAUGCCGCGUGUGUGAAGAAGGCCUUCGGGUUGUAAAGCACUUUCAGCGGGGAGGAAGGCGGUGAGGUUAAUAACCUCAUCGAUUGACGUUACCCGCAGAAGAAGCACCGGCUAACUCCGUGCCAGCAGCCGCGGUAAUACGGAGGGUGCAAGCGUUAAUCGGAAUUACUGGGCGUAAAGCGCACGCAGGCGGUCUGUCAAGUCGGAUGUGAAAUCCCCGGGCUCAACCUGGGAACUGCAUUCGAAACUGGCAGGCUAGAGUCUUGUAGAGGGGGGUAGAAUUCCAGGUGUAGCGGUGAAAUGCGUAGAGAUCUGGAGGAAUACCGGUGGCGAAGGUGGCCCCCUGGACAAAGACUGACGCUCAGGUGCGAAAGCGUGGGGAGCAAACAGGAUUAGAUACCCUUGUAGUC
rnacentral:rRNA from 1 species